GACAGAGGAGAAGACUUGAAUUUGUGGAGCUGAGUGUCUCUGCCUGGGUCACCCCAGUUUAUCAGUUAAGCCAGAGAAGGUAUGAUGUCCCCCAUCUAAGAAUAAGAAUAGUAGUCUACAUCACCUACCUACAUUUUCUUUCGUCCUCUUCAAGAACUAUAGUAUAUGAGAUGGAGUAACUGUCUCCCGUAUAGCAGGUCUAAAGUCCUUCUGGCCAGCCUUCUACUUCGGUGAAAAGUAAAUAAGUGGACAGUGUUAAAUCUACAACCAUCCCUGCUCCAGACUUUUCGGGAAGAAAUGGUACUUUGUAAAGAAGGUACCCGGUGGAUGGAGUCAAGAACAGACAUUUGUGAAUCAACAAGGACCACCAACUGCCCUUAAUCCUAUAGAAAGUCUGGGGAAACUGAGGUUUAAAGAUAUAAAUCUCUUGCCCAAGUUGUUUUCUUUUUUAAACUUUAUUUUAUGUGUAUGAAUGUUUCCCCUGCGUGUGUGUUCAUGUGCCACAUGCAUGCAGUGCCUGCAGAGGCCAGAAGAGGGGUGUCGGAUCCCCUGGCAUUAUAGAAGACUGUGACCCGCCAUGUGGGUGCUAGGAACUGAACCUGGAUCCUGGGGAGGAGCAGGCAGUGCUCUCAACCUCUGAGCCACGUCUCCAGCUCCUGAGUGACUACCAACCUGGGAUCAGGCUUCUUACUUCUGUACAAGUAAUCCUUCAUGAGGAAGAGAGACCAAGUCUGGAAUGCGGUGAAGUAAGCAGAGAAGAUUUUAUGGCGUUUCACAAAUUUCUCUUGGCCUCCGAGACAGCAAAAUAAUCAUACAAAGAAACCAAGCCCUUUGCCUGCAGGACAAUACAUGGGUUUUUAUUAAAAGAGGAAUUUAAAUGCCUCCUGUGCACAGACUGUUUUAACUAGAAAGACUUAGAAAAUUAAUUUCUGCCUAUAAUCUCUUAUAGAUAAUACUAUAAAAAUAGUUCCUUUUAAAGUAGCAUAUUUCAUGCAAAUAUCAAAAAGCCUUUUAUCUAUGUUCAAGAUUUCUUGUUCUAUUUCUGUCCCCUGUCUCCUCCUCUUAGCUGGAGGAUCAGACUUUGGAGCGCCAAGCUUGUUGCUAAGGGGCAGGGCCCAGAGGCAGGAGGACGGUUGGCCCCAGGCAUUAUACAAGCAGAGAAGCUGAGGGGCAAGCCUCGAUUCCUACUAUGUGCUGGGCACUAUGUCAGUGCUGCGGUAAGGAAAGAGUGGGUUCCCACAGCAAGCAGAGCAGAAUUCCAGCCACACAUACCAGGAAGUCGUAUGUCAGAGCCAGACAUGGAGAGAGUAAGAAAAGAAAGAAAGACUCUUGAAGGAGUGUUCUCCAACCCCAUGCACAAACCCCUUUAAGAUGUUUGAAUGACCUAAUACCCCCGCUAUGGUAUUAUUUAUUUAAUACUUUCCAUUUGAUAAUAAUUUAAUUUUGCUCUAAUUUAGUCUCAGUCUAAACAAUAAUGUGGCUUUUAAAAACUUUACAUCAAUGAUGGAUGUUCGAGCUGUGUUCUGCUCCAAGAGUCACUCAAGGAAGCAUAUAGCUAGUAACAUAGAAAAAUGUUCAUCUAGAGAGUCCUAAAAUUAAUUCAGCUAUUCCACUAGGCAGUCCUACCACACUCUUAGGAAAC
rnacentral:lncRNA from 1 species